GACUAACGCUGGCGGCGUGCCUAAUACAUGCAAGUCGAACGGGAUUCUUUGAUCAGCUUGCUGAGAGAAGGAUCUAGUGGCGGACGGGUGAGUAACGCGUGGGAAUCUGCCUCUUACUGGGGGAUAACAGUGGGAAACUACUGCUAAUACCGCAUAAGAUCUUCGGAUGAAAGGUGCAACUGCACCGGUAAGAGAUGAGCCCGCGUCCCAUUAGCUAGUUGGUGAGGUAAAGGCUCACCAAGGCGACGAUGGGUAGCCGGCCUGAGAGGGUGAACGGCCACACUGGGACUGAGACACGGCCCAGACUCCUACGGGAGGCAGCAGUAGGGAAUCUUCCGCAAUGGGCGCAAGCCUGACGGAGCGACGCCGCGUGAGUGAUGAAGGCCUUGGGUCGUAAAGCUCUGUUCUUGAGGACGAAUAAGCCAGGGAGUGGAAAGCCCUGGUGAUGACUGUACUCAAGGAGAAAGCUCCGGCUAACUACGUGCC
rnacentral:rRNA from 1 species